ACCGUAGCCAUCUGGCUCAAG
rnacentral:misc_RNA from 1 species